AUUUAAGUAGCUUAAUAUAAAGCUUAAUAUUGAAGGUAUUAUGAUGGAUUAAAAAUUUCCUUAAAUA
rnacentral:tRNA from 1 species